rfam:Paracoccidioides brasiliensis Pb18 unplaced genomic scaffold supercont2.5, whole genome shotgun sequence.
CCGCUGGUCGUCUAGUUGGUUUAUGGCACUGGACUGUAAUAUCUGCUCGCGAUCCAGGUGUCGUCGGUUCGACUCCGACCCAGCGGA